rnacentral:lncRNA from 1 species
AAAAAUCUGAUGUGGGAUGGGCAGCUCCAGCAGUGUUGGUUACUUCAAGGCAUGGACCACAAACCGCAGCGGAGUGCCCUGUAGAGAACCUAAACAAAUUAGGAGACCAACAAUGGCUGAUCUGUGAUCUUCUGAUUUAUGCACCUACCUGCCUACUUUAUCCACCUGUUAUGAGCUCUGACAUCAGACGACUUGGGUUAAAAUCCAGCUGUGUCACUCAUUAGCUGUGCGACUUUGGGUAAGUUGUAUAACCGCUCUGGUUUUCA